AAGAGAGACAUGCGCGCAUAUCAAUAAGCGGAGGAAAAGAAACUAACUAAGGAUUCCCUCAGUAACGGCGAGUGAAGCGGGAAGAGCUCAAAUUUGAAAUCUUCAAGGUUCUACCUUGACGAAUUGUAGUUUAAAGAAGUGUUUUCUGUUAGUGGAGUUUGGUAAAAGUUCUUUGGAAUAGGACAUCAUAGGAGGGUGAGAAUCCCGUAUUUGGAUCAUUAUUUCUAGCUUUGUGAUACACUUUCAAAGAGUCGGAUUGUUUGGGAAUGCAGUCCAAAAUGGGUGGUAAAUUUCAUCUAAAGCUAAAUAUUGGCGAGAGACCGAUAGCGAACAAGUACCGUGAGGGAAAGAUGAAAAGAACUUUGAAAAGAGAGUUAAACAGUACGUGAAAUUGUCAAAAGGGAAGCGUUUGACACCAGUGUUGUUUCGUCGAAAAUCAAUUAAAAUAGUCUGGAUUUUAAGUUAGUAUUGACCUUAUCAGCUUGCUGCACUCUUUUCUUGUCUUUUUUAAUGCACUUUUCGUUUAACAAGUCAACAUCAAUUUCUUUUGUUGUAAAAGGGUCAUUGGAAGGUGGCUUUCUUUUCGGAGAAAGUGUUUAUAGCCUUUGGCCUCUGCAAUCGGAGAGAUUGAGGUCUGCAGCGUAGAUCCUUCGGGGUUAGAUACAUUUGUGCUAAGCUAUAGCCUUUCAUAGACAACUUGUUGACUAUGAUCAGUCAUGUAGCUUACUCGCUUAUGCUAUUUUACCUACGCUUAGGAUGUUGACAGCAGUAUAGACUGU
rnacentral:rRNA from 1 species